GGGUUGUGAGGUUAAGCGACUAAGCGUACACGGUGGAUGCCCUGGCAGUCAGAGGCGAUGAAGGGCGUGCUAAUCUGCGAUAAGCGCCGGUAAGGUGAUAUGAACCGUUAUAACCGGCGAUACCCGAAUGGGGAAACCCAGUGUGAUUCGUCACACUAUCAUUAACUGAAUCCAUAGGUUAAUGAGGCGAACCGGGGGAACUGAAACAUCUAAGUACCCCGAGGAAAAGAAAUCAACCGAGAUUCCCCCAGUAGCGGCGAGCGAACGGGGAGGAGCCCAGAGCCUGAAUCAGCAUGUGUGUUAGUGGAAGCGUCUGGAAAGGCGCGCGAUACAGGGUGACAGCCCCGUACACAAAAGCGCAUGUGCUGUGAGCUCGAUGAGUAGGGCGGGACACGUGGUAUCCUGUCUGAAUAUGGGGGGACCAUCCUCCAAGGCUAAAUACUCCUGACUGACCGAUAGUGAACCAGUACCGUGAGGGAAAGGCGAAAAGAACCCCGGCGAGGGGAGUGAAAAAGAACCUGAAACCGUGUACGUACAAGCAGUGGGAGCACAGGUUUACCUGUGUGACUGCGUACCUUUUGUAUAAUGGGUCAGCGACUUAUAUUCUGUAGCAAGGUUAACCGUAUAGGGGAGCCGUAGGGAAACCGAGUCUUAACCGGGCGUUAAGUUGCAGGGUAUAGACCCGAAACCCGGUGAUCUAGCCAUGGGCAGGUUGAAGGUUGGGUAACACUAACUGGAGGACCGAACCGACUAAUGUUGAAAAAUUAGCGGAUGACCUGUGGCUGGGGGUGAAAGGCCAAUCAAACCGGGAGAUAGCUGGUUCUCCCCGAAAGCUAUUUAGGUAGCGCCUCGUGAAUUCAUCUCCGGGGGUAGAGCACUGUUUCGGCUAGGGGGCCAUCCCGGCUUACCAACCCGAUGCAAACUGCGAAUACCGGAGAAUGUUAUCACGGGAGACACACGGCGGGUGCUAACGUCCGUCGUGAAGAGGGAAACAACCCAGACCGCCAGCUAAGGUCCCAAAGUCAUGGUUAAGUGGGAAACGAUGUGGGAAGGCCCAGACAGCCAGGAUGUUGGCUUAGAAGCAGCCAUCAUUUAAAGAAAGCGUAAUAGCUCACUGGUCGAGUCGGCCUGCGCGGAAGAUGUAACGGGGCUAAACCAUGCACCGAAGCUGCGGCAGCGACACUGUGUGUUGUUGGGUAGGGGAGCGUUCUGUAAGCCUGUGAAGGUGGCCUGUGAGGGUUGCUGGAGGUAUCAGAAGUGCGAAUGCUGACAUAAGUAACGAUAAAGCGGGUGAAAAGCCCGCUCGCCGGAAGACCAAGGGUUCCUGUCCAACGUUAAUCGGGGCAGGGUGAGUCGACCCCUAAGGCGAGGCCGAAAGGCGUAGUCGAUGGGAAACGGGUUAAUAUUCCCGUACUUGGUGUUACUGCGAAGGGGGGACGGAGAAGGCUAUGUUGGCCGGGCGACGGUUGUCCCGGUUUAAGCGUGUAGGUGUGUGUUCCAGGUAAAUCCGGUUCACUUUAACACUGAGGCGUGACGACGAGGCACUACGGUGCUGAAGCAACAAAUGCCCUGCUUCCAGGAAAAGCAUCAGGUAACAUCAAAUCGUACCCCAAACCGACACAGGUGGUCAGGUAGAGAAUACCAAGGCGCUUGAGAGAACUCGGGUGAAGGAACUAGGCAAAAUGGUGCCGUAACUUCGGGAGAAGGCACGCUGACACGUAGGUGAAGUGAUUUACUCAUGGAGCUGAAGUCAGUCGAAGAUACCAGCUGGCUGCAACUGUUUAUUAAAAACACAGCACUGUGCAAACACGAAAGUGGACGUAUACGGUGUGACGCCUGCCCGGUGCCGGAAGGUUAAUUGAUGGGGUCAGCGCAAGCGAAGCUCCUGAUCGAAGCCCCGGUAAACGGCGGCCGUAACUAUAACGGUCCUAAGGUAGCGAAAUUCCUUGUCGGGUAAGUUCCGACCUGCACGAAUGGCGUAAUGAUGGCCAGGCUGUCUCCACCCGAGACUCAGUGAAAUUGAACUCGCUGUGAAGAUGCAGUGUACCCGCGGCAAGACGGAAAGACCCCGUGAACCUUUACUAUAGCUUGACACUGAACAUUGAGCCUUGAUGUGUAGGAUAGGUGGGAGGCUUUGAAGCGUGGACGCCAGUCUGCGUGGAGCCAACCUUGAAAUACCACCCUUUAAUGUUUGAUGUUCUAACGUGGACCCGUAAUCCGGGUUGCGGACAGUGUCUGGUGGGUAGUUUGACUGGGGCGGUCUCCUCCUAAAGAGUAACGGAGGAGCACGAAGGUUGGCUAAUCUGGUCGGACAUCAGGAGGUUAGUGCAAUGGCAUAAGCCAGCUUGACUGCGAGCGUGACGGCGCGAGCAGGUGCGAAAGCAGGUCAUAGUGAUCCGGUGGUUCUGAAUGGAAGGGCCAUCGCUCAACGGAUAAAAGGUACUCCGGGGAUAACAGGCUGAUACCGCCCAAGAGUUCAUAUCGACGGCGGUGUUUGGCACCUCGAUGUCGGCUCAUCACAUCCUGGGGCUGAAGUAGGUCCCAAGGGUAUGGCUGUUCGCCAUUUAAAGUGGUACGCGAGCUGGGUUUAGAACGUCGUGAGACAGUUCGGUCCCUAUCUGCCGUGGGCGCUGGAGAACUGAGGGGGGCUGCUCCUAGUACGAGAGGACCGGAGUGGACGCAUCACUGGUGUUCGGGUUGUCAUGCCAAUGGCACUGCCCGGUAGCUAAAUGCGGAAGAGAUAAGUGCUGAAAGCAUCUAAGCACGAAACUUGCCCCGAGAUGAGUUCUCCCUGAGACUUAGAGUCUCCUGAAGGAACGUUGAAGACGACGACGUUGAUAGGCCGGGUGUGUAAGCGCAGCGAUGCGUUGAGCUAACCGGUACUAAUGAACCGUGAGGCUUAACCUUACAACGCCGAAG
rnacentral:rRNA from 1 species